AAAAAAAAAACAAGAGAGCUUGUGCGAGAGAGAAACAGAGAAGUGAGAAAGAGAGAUAGAGUGGAGUCACUCUUUGUGUAAUACUUCGAGAUCUGUUCUAGUGGAAGGUUGAGAAACAUUAUUUCUCUCUCCGGCCAACAAAAACAUAUCUCCUGUGUUCUUACUUUGUGCUUGAUAUAUAUAUAUAUCUGUGUGUGGUCUGGUCUUGAGGUUGUCAUUUGUAACGAUGGAUCAAUAAGGUGGAAUCGAACGCCUGGUAGCAGCAAUAUCCGAACAGGCUUCUGCAACUUCCAGAGAGUCUCCAGAAGACAAAACGUUUAAGAAAUCAUCAGAACUGAAGUCUUUCGACAUCUCAACAUGAAGAAAAAAAAAACAUGAAGAAAAAGAAGAAGCAGACCAUCAAUCUCAGGAGUGAGACCGCACCGAAGACAAAAGCUCCAGUGAAGUUCUUUAGACAGCAUCUUUAUCCAUCAGACUGGACCACACACUACAUUACGGAAUGUUUGCUUGAAGCGCAGAUCGUACAAAUGUUUUGAUUUAGUUAAGUCAAAGUACAUAGAUUUGAGAAUCAAGAUCUAGCUUUGGAUCAAAAAGCUCAAAAAACAAGAAUGAGAUUGGCAAAGAGGAAGCUUUGUUGACUUGGUUUCGUAAGAAUAACAAAUGCCAUCGAAGAAGAAGAUGGGAAGAAUGUAAACUUCAAAAGAAAUGAAAAAAAUAAAACACAAAUGAGAGCGACGUAAGGAAUGCUGCUAAAUUUGUUU